UAUGACAGGGAAAAUCCCACACAACUUCCUUGUUGAAGUGUCAUAGGAGUUUAGUAGUUUGUUCACUUGUUCUGCAGUCUCACUUGUGAAUACAAUUUAUCAAAAUUGUAUUUAAUAUUUUAAUCACAAAGCACAGAGUCUGGGAUGACUGAAUACCCUUAUUAAUUGUUUGGACAUAUUCAAUCGGAAUCAACAACACUUGUUACAUCUGGCGAUAUGGAAGCAGCUACAGUAGUUUCUCUCACCAUGGCAGUACUUUUAGAAAAUUCCUGAUGGUGCAUGAAGCCGGAAGUACUUGAUUUUGAAGCAUGCCAUGUUGCUGAAUGAUCAUGGUGAUAGUGCUUCUACGCCUGCUGUCACGCCCUGACCAGUCCUGCACGACGAUCGUUACAGAACAACCCACCCUACCAGGACCAAGCAGCGGGAGGAAAAGGAACGCGAGAGAUGGGCUCGCGAGGGAAAGGAGUUCUGGACCUGGGAG